UGGGGAAUAUUGCACAAUGGGCGGAAGCCUGAUGCAGCAACGCCGCGUGAGGGAUGACGGCCUUCGGGUUGUAAACCUCUUUUAGCAGGGAAGAAGCGAGAGUGACGGUACCUGCAGAAAAAGCGCCGGCUAACUACGUGCCAGCAGCCGCGGUAAUACGUAGGGCGCAAGCGUUAUCCGGAAUUAUUGGGCGUAAAGAGCUCGUAGGCGGUUUGUCGCGUCUGCUGUGAAAUCCCGAGGCUCAACCUCGGGCCUGCAGUGGGUACGGGCAGACUAGAGUGCGGUAGGGGAGAUUGGAAUUCCUGGUGUAGCGGUGGAAUGCGCAGAUAUCAGGAGGAACACCGAUGGCGAAGGCAGAUCUCUGGGCCGUAACUGACGCUGAGGAGCGAAAGGGUGGGGAGCAAACAGG
rnacentral:rRNA from 1 species